rnacentral:rRNA from 19 species
GCCGCGGUACCCUGACCGUGCUAAGGUAGCGCAAUCACUUGCCCUUUAAUUGGGGGCUAGUAUGAAUGGUCAAACGAGGGUGAUACUGUCUCAUCAAGGCCUAAUAAAACUUAUCCUGCAUGUGAAGAGCCAUGCAUACAAUAGGAAGACGAGAAGACCCUGUCAAGCUUUACACCAAUAGCGUCCUCCAACCGCCCACGCCCUACAGUGUUUUGUUGGGGCAACAUAGGAAAAAAUCUUCCUUACAACCCACUCUCCUACACCAAAAGACCCGGCAUAGCCGGAACAAGACAAGCUACUGCAGGGAUAACAGGCUAAUCUGCCUCGAGAGCCCACAUUGACAGGCAGGAUUGGCACCUCGAUGUUGGCUUAGGGACCCUUGUUGGGGCAGCACCCAACAACAGGAGGUUUGUUCAACCUAUAACCCCCU